rnacentral:rRNA from 1 species
UGGGGAAUUUUUCGCAAUGGGGGAAACCCUGACGAAGCAACGCCGCGUGGAGGAUGAAGGCCUUCGGGUUGUAAACUCCUGUCGACCGGGACGAAAGUAGUCUGACCCAAUACGUCAGGCUAUUGACUGUACCGGUGGAGGAAGCCACGGCUAACUCUGUGCCAGCAGCCGCGGUAAUACAGAGGUGGCAAGCGUUGUUCGGAAUUACUGGGCGUAAAGGGCGCGUAGGCGGCCCUGUAAGUCCCGUGUGAAAUCCCUCGGCUCAACUGAGGAACUGCACGGGAUACUGCUGGGCUUGAGUUCGGGAGAGGGAAGCGGAAUUCCGGGUGUAGCGGUGAAAUGCGUAGAUAUCCGGAGGAACACCGGUGGCGAAGGCGGCUUCCUGGACCGAUACUGACGCUGAGGCGCGAAAGCUAGGGGAGCAAA